GGAGAUCUGCCCGCCUCAGCCUCCCAAAGUGCUGGGAUUAUAGGCAUGAGCCACCAUGCCCAGCCAGGAAAAUACAAUUUUAACUAUUAUGUUUAACUCUGUGAGUAUGCUCUUCUGCCCAAAAAUAAUGGUGGUGACCAGGAAUGGACACCUGCCUCAGACUGGGCCAGUCACAUUCUCUACUGAAAAUCUGAAAUUCCAACAAAAGGCAACGAGUUAGUUGCUACCAAUAUUUAACAACUACAAUGAAUGAUUCGUGUCUAUGUAAUUACAUUUUUUAAGUGAGUAAAUUUAGGGGCUGGUAAAACCCAGGAAGUAUGCAGUACGUCUGUUCUUACAUUGGGUUAAAAAGCAACAAAAGUGCAAAAUGGUAAAUACUCAUUACCUCUCACAGCCCAUCCCCAGGCCCCUCCUCCUAUGCCUUCCCAUGAGUCAGUCAUUAGAGGGUUAAUGUCUGUCACAAUGGUGACUGUACCCAUCAGCUCAUCUGCCUCAGUUCUGAUUAACUGGUAAUUGUGCUACUCCAGUUUUUCAACAUUUUGAAUAUUACCCCCGCCUGCUUCCAAAUAGUACUAGAAAGUCUUGCUUCACCCUCCUGUGUUGUGGAAUGAUGCAUGCCAGGAAGAGCUCAGGUUAAGACACUAAUUAAAUCUGAGAUUCAGCUUUACCAUGCACAGUCACUGAAUCACUUAGAGGUGGGGUUAGUAUUAACCCCAGAGCACUGAAGAGACUUGUGGCUUUACUUAGGCCAUGAGCACACCAUCUUUCACAUCUGUCCUCUCCAGUCUACACUGCACCACCUGGUACCUGGCACAGACUCUUGUCCCAUCUGAGUGCUCCUGGCUCCAGACUUUUCAAUGCAUUUUCCAUUUGGCUCCCAAUUUAACCAUCCUGAGUGCCUCACUGAUUAACCUAGGUGGUGCUGUGGCAGAAGAAGGACUCCAAGAAAGACUGGACCUUGUUAUCCAGUACACCUCGGCUUAGAUUCUUGCCUUGCCGCUGCACUAGCUGUGCAGCCUCAGACAAAUUGUGUAAUUGUAAAACCAGGAUUUCCUCUUAUUUAAAUUGGAGAUAUUAUCAUUAUCAUCACAUCAUCCCUUUGGGCCCAGAUCUCCUGUAAUCUGCAUGAAAUUUACUGCAUAUUGUUUAUCUGCUCUGCCAGAGUAAGGAUAUUGUUAUAUUCAUUUUUGCAUCAGUGCCUCACCUGAUUCUUGGUUAACAGUAGGUCUUUGGUAAAUAAAAUUCCCCCCAAGUUGAAUGGAAUCAAGUUUCAAACACUAAGGUAAGUUUCAAAUAUCCAAAUGUUGAAAAUGCAAUUGAUCCAGAUGUUUUUACAUCAGUGGAUUAUAUGCUGAAUUGAUUUCCUCCUUAGAGGAAAGUCAGUAGCCCUGAAACUUUCUACACAUUCCCAACAAUUUCUGUAAAACUUCCAAUGAUCUUAUUCUCUAUAACUAGAUAUGUGGGCCAAGAAUCCCAGCACGUUUGCCCCUUAACUUUGAAGCUGGUAAUAUGAAUUACCAGGGUGACCCCUCCCAGUAGAGCACAUGAUCGGCCACAGCUGUGCAUGUUUUUUAGUAUGACUGCACCAGGAUAGGGCUCCAAGCCACUGGGUGGAGCAAUGUGCUCUGGGGAGAAAGCUCAUGACAUUUCCCCUAUGAUUUCACAAAAGAAAAAAUCUUUUUCUUAUGAGUUGUUUCUGCUCAAUGUCAAUAGGAAAGGUCGUAGCUUAGCGUGUUUACAUACAGAUGCAUGCAUGAAUAUGUAGAAUAUCAGCCACUCCUACGGUGUGAGAGAAUUUAAAUUGCACCGGUCCUAAGAGUGAAGGAAAGCAGGCGUAGUUGCCUACUCGACCUCCACUUUAUUCUUUUCCCUUUAUAACAAUCCUAAUUUUAUUUGAGAUGACAAUGUAUACAGCUAGAAGACAAUUUCUCAGCCUCCCUUGGAGAGCUAGGUUCCAGCCAAUGAGAUGUAAACAGAAAUGUAUGCAAUGUUCAAGUAGGCUGCUUAAAAGAAGUUGACUCCACUUGAAAGGUGUGCUUGGUUUGGCCUGCCUUCUCCCUUCCUCUGGUUGAAUGUCAUCUUGAUGACUGGAGCUCCAGGAGCCAUCCUGGAAUUUGUGACCUUGAGGGUGGAAGCCACAGGCCAAUAUGAUAGAAGGAUGAGGAAAAGGUUGAGUACCAGAUGGCUGAGAAGCCGCUAUACCAGCCCUGGAUUCGAGUUUACACUGCUUCUGUGAAAGAAAAGUCUAUCACAAUAAAACCUUUUAUCUUGUUUAAACCACCUUAAAAAGUCAGUUUUCUUUAAUAUGCAGCCUACUAAUCCUAUCCAAACAAGGCUUGAAUAAGGUUUACUACAGUUCUUUUUUGUUGUAAUAGCAGAAAAAUUGGUAAUAAAUGCCCAUCAAUAGGAAAAUAAACUAUUAAUUUAACAAUACCAAAUAAAACUGUGCAGCAGUA
rnacentral:lncRNA from 1 species